UACGAAGGGGGCUAGCGUUGCUCGGAUUUACUGGGCGUAAAGGGCGCGUAGGCGGACAGUUAAGUUGGGGGUGAAAGCCCGGGGCUCAACCUCGGAAUUGCCUUCAAUACUGGCUGUCUUGAGUGUGAGAGAGGUGUGUGGAACUCCGAGUGUAGAGGUGAAAUUCGUAGAUAUUCGGAAGAACACCAGUGGCGAAGGCGGCUCACUGGCCCGGUACUGACGCUCAGGUGCGAAAGCGUGGGGAGCAAACAGG
rnacentral:rRNA from 1 species